rnacentral:rRNA from 1 species
UUAGCUAGUUGGUGAGGUAACGGCUCACCAAGGCAACGAUGCGUAGCCGACCUGAGAGGGUGAUCGGCCACACUGGGACUGAGACACGGCCCAGACUCCUACGGGAGGCAGCAGUAGGGAAUCUUCCGCAAUGGACGAAAGUCUGACGGAGCAACGCCGCGUGAGUGAUGAAGGUUUUCGGAUCGUAAAGCUCUGUUGUUAGGGAAGAACAAGUACCGUUCGAAUAGGCG